rnacentral:rRNA from 1 species
UGCAGUCGAGCGAAUGAGAAGAAGCUUGCUUCUUCUGAUUUAGCGGCGGACGGGUGAGUAACACGUGGGCAACCUGCCCUGUAGAUUGGGAUAACUCCGGGAAACCGGGGCUAAUACCGAAUAAUCCAUUCCCUCACAUGUGGGAAUGUUAAAAGACGGUCUCGGCUGUCACUACAGGAUGGGCCCGCGGCGCAUUAGCUAGUUGGGGAGGUAACGGCUCACCAAGGCGACGAUGCGUAGCCGACCUGAGAGGGUGAUCGGCCACACUGGGACUGAGACACGGCCCAAACUCCUACGGGAGGCAGCAGUAGGGAAUCUUCCACAAUGGACGAAAGUCUGAUGGAGCAACGCCGCGUGAGUGAAGAAGGUUUUCGGAUCGUAAAACUCUGUUGUGAGGGAAGAACAAGUACGAGAGUAACUGCUCGUACCUUGACGGUACCUCAUUAGAAAGCCACGGCUAACUACGUGCCAGCAGCCGCGGUAAUACGUAGGUGGCAAGCGUUGUCCGGAAUUAUUGGGCGUAAAGCGCGCGCAGGCGGUCCUUUAAGUCUGAUGUGAAAGCCCACGGCUCAACCGUGGAAGGUCAUUGGAAACUGGGGGACUUGAGUGCAGAAGAGGAAAGUGGAAUUCCAAGUGUAGCGGUGAAAUGC